GCCUGGCUCACACCGGUCUAGACUCAGAUCAUGUAAAAUUUUAAAGGUCGAACAGACCUAACCAAUCAGCUACUUCACCAAUAGUAAAUUUUAAUCCAACAUCGAGGUCGCAAACUUUUUUUUUGAUUAGAACUCUAAAAAAAAUUACGCUGUUAUCCCUAAGGUAGUUUAUUCUUUUAAUCUAAACAAUAGGCUCAUUCACUCAUAAAUCAAUGAUUUAUUUUAAAAAUAAGUUUGACUAAUUUUUUUGUCACCCCAACAAAAUACUUUACUAAAUAAAAAAAAUAUUCCUUUCCUAAAUUUCCCUUUUUCUGAAAAUAUUAAACUCUAUAGGGUCUUCUCGUCUUCAAUGAAUAUUUAAGCUUUUUAACUUAAAAAUAAAAUUUUAAUAAAUUUUAAAAGAGACAGUCUUUUUCUCAUCAAACCUUUCAUACAAGCUUACAAUUAAAAAACUAAUGAUUAUGCUACCUUCGCACGGUCAAUAUACCGCGGCCAUUAAAUUCUUCAUUGGGCAGGUUAGACUUGAAAUCAUAAACAACAAGCCAUGUUUU
rnacentral:rRNA from 1 species